CUACGGGCGGCUGCAGUGAGGAAUAUUGCACAAUGGGGGGAACCCUGAUGCAGCAACGCCGCGUGGAGGAUGACGCAUUUCGGUGUGUAAACUCCUUUUAUAUGUCAAGAAAAUGACGGUAGCAUAUGAAUAAGCGCCGGCUAACUCCGUGCCAGCAGCCGCGGUAAUACGGAGGGUGCAAGCGUUACUCGGAAUCACUGGGCGUAAAGGACGCGUAGGCGGGUUGGAAAGUCAGGUGUGAAAUCCUACAGCUUAACUGUAGAACUGCACUUGAAACUUCUAAUCUAGAGUAUAGGAGGGGGAGAUGGAAUUAGUGGUGUAGGGGUAAAAUCCGUAGAUAUCACUAGGAAUACCUAAAGCGAAGGCGAUCUCCUGGAACAUAACUGACGCUAAGGCGUGAAAGCGUGGGGAGCAAACAGGAUUAGAUACCCGCGUAGUC
rnacentral:rRNA from 1 species